CUAUGCGAGAUUAAAAACACAGUCUGGUUGGUAGUCCAGACGCAGCCUCCGCUGUCAGUAACCUGCCUUCCUUGGUUGUCCUUAUUUCGUAACGAAAUU
rnacentral:ncRNA from 1 species